GGGUGUAUAACUCAAUUGGUAGAGUAGCUGCCUUACAAGCAGUUUGUUGUAGGUUCAAGUCCUGCUUCACCCA
rnacentral:tRNA from 1 species